CAGCACCUCAAGUGGUCAGGAUGAUUAUUGGGCCUAAAGCGUCCGUAGCCGGCCGGGUAAGUUUCCCGUUAAAUCCAACGUCUCAAGCGUUGGACUGCGGGAAAUACUGCCAGGCUAGAGAGUGGGAGAGGUCAGCGGUAUUCUGGGGGUAGGGGCGAAAUCCUUUGAUCCCCGGAGGACCACCAGUGGCGAAGGCUGCUGACUAGAACACGUCUGACGGUCAGGGACGAAAGCUGGGGUAGCGAACCGGAUUAGAGACCCGAGUAGUCC
rnacentral:rRNA from 1 species